rnacentral:rRNA from 1 species
CCUACGGGAGGCAGCAGUGGGGAAUCUUGCGCAAUGGGCGAAAGCCUGACGCAGCAACGCCGCGUGCGGGAAGAAGGCUUUCGGGCUGUAAACCGCUUUCAGCAGGAACGAAAAUGACGGUACCUGCAGAAGAAGGAGCGGCCAACUAUGUGCCAGCAGCCGCGGUGAUACAUAGGCUUCAAGCGUUGUCCGGAUUUAUUGGGCGUAAAGAGUUCGUAGGCGGUCGAGUAAGUCGGGUGUGAAAAUUCUGGGCUCAACCCAGAGACGCCACCCGAUACUGCUUAACUUGAGUUCGAUAGGGGAGUGGGGAAUUCCUAGUGUAGCGGUGAAAUGCGCAGAUAUUAGGAGGAACACCGGUGGCGAAGGCGCCACUCUGGAUCGAUACUGACGCUGAGGAACGAAAGCAUGGGUAGCAAACAGGAUUAGAUACCCUGGUAGUCCAUGCCGUAAACGGUGGGCACUAGGUGUGGGAUUCUAUUAACGAAUUCCGCGCCGUCGCUAACGCAUUAAGUGCCCCGCCUGGGGAGUACGGUCGCAAGCUAAAACUCAAAGGAAUUGACGGCUGAGAGNGCGAGACGACACGAGGAGAG